rnacentral:rRNA from 1 species
CGAAUGCUGACAUAAGUAACGAUAAAGCGGGUGAAAAGCCCGCUCGCCGGAAGACCAAGGGUUCCUGUCCAACGUUAAUCGGGGCAGGGUGAGUCGACCCCUAAGGCGAGGCCGAAAGGCGUAGUCGAUGGGAAACAGGUUAAUAUUCCUGUACUUGGUGUUACUGCGAAGGGGGGACGGAGAAGGCUAUGUUGGCCGGGCGACGGUUGUCCCGGUUUAAGCGUGUAGGCUGGUUUUCCAGGCAAAUCCGGAAAAUC